rnacentral:lncRNA from 1 species
GCCAGCGCCGCGUCCCGGCGCGGGCAGCGGAGCGGCGAGGGGCGGUGAGUGCGGCGGGCGGGCGCUCACGGCUCCGGGGCAGCGUCUGCCCUCCGCGGGCGCGGAGCCGCGCAGGGAGGAGGUCUCUUUGAGAGUAUCUGGAAGACAGUUGGGGACAAAUGUUAUGAAAGUCGCUUGAGAACAUGAUGCUGUGUUCUGGGAGCAGGUGAUUUUCUUAGUGCUACAUCUCUACUCUGCUUCUGAAGACCAAAGAGUUCCUCCA